rnacentral:rRNA from 1 species
UUAAUAAAAUUUUAUUUAUUAAUUUUUUAAAAAUUAUUUAUUUUAAUAAAAAUAUUUUUAUUUUUUUAUUGUUUUAGUAUUAAAUAUUAAAUAAAUUAAAUUUUUUAUAUAUUUUGUAUUGUGAAAGAUUAAUUUAAUAUAUUAAAAGUAGAUUUUUGUAUUGUACCUUUUGUAUCAGGGUUGAUUAAAAUUUUAAUAAAAAUUUUAUUUAUCUCGAAUUUAAAAGAGCUAAUUUUAAAUGAAAUUUUAAGUUGUAUAUUAAUUUUAAAUUUAAAGUUAGGAAUGAAAUGUUAUUCGUUUUUAAUGAUAUCUAGUUUUUUUUGAAAUGAAUUUAAUUCAGUUAUAUUAAUUAUUUAAAAAUAACUUUUAAAUUUAAUUGUUUUAAUAUAGUAAUAAUUUUAGGGAUAAGCUUGAAAUUAAUUAUAUAAUUAUAUUUUUUUAUUUAUAUUAAUUUUCAUGGAAUUUGAAUUUUAUAAUAAUAAUGUAAUAAUAUAUAAAAUUUUUAUAUAAAAAUUUUAUAUUAGAUAUAUUUAAUUAAAAAAUUAAAAUUUUUAUAAUUAUUUUUUAGUUGAUAUAAUGAUUAAAUUAGUAAUUUAUAUAAAUAUAAAUAUUUUUUAAUUUUUUAUAUUAAAUAAAGGAAUUCGGCAAAUUAAUUAUAUUCGCCUGUUUAACAAAAACAUGUCUUUUUGAUUAUAAUUUUAAGUCUACUCUGCCCAAUGAGUUAUAAAUUUUAAUGGCUGCAGUAUAUUGACUGUGCAAAGGUAGCAUAAUCAUUUGUCUUUUAAUUGAAGGCUGGAAUAAAUGAGGGGACGAAAUAUAAACUGUCUCUAUUUAAUUUUAUUGAAAUUAAAUUUUGAGUUAAAAUGCUUAAAUUUUUUUAUAAGACGAGAAGACCCUAUAGAAUUUUAUAGAUUUAAUUAAAUUAUUAUUUAUUAAAUUUUUAAAUUAAUUAUAAUUAAUAAUAUUUGGUUGGGAGGAUUUUUAAAAUUAGUAAACUUUAAAAUUUUUAUUACAUAAAUUAAUGAUUUAAAUGUUUUUAAUUUUUUUAAAUAUUAGAUUAAAUUACCUUAGGGAUAACAGCGUUAUAUCUUUGGAGAGAUCAUAUUAAUAAAGAUGUUUGCGACCUCGAUGUUGAAUUAAGAUAAAAAUUAAAUGCAGGAGUUUAAUGAUUAAGUCUGUUCGACUUUUAAAAUCUUACAUGAUUUGAGUUCAGAUCGGUGUGAGCCAGAUCGGUUUCUAUCUAUAAAAAUUUUUUUGUUUUUUGUACGAAAGGACUAAAAUUAAGAAUAAUAUUUUUUAAAAUUUGAAUAAAUAUAAAUAUAAAUUUU